GCUGGCUAAGCGUCUUGGAAAAUAGCUUUAGGAAUCCCGGGAACCCAAAAAGGAGAGGCAGGUGGAAGCUGGACCCUAGCAUCCUGCUCCUGCUUUUCUCUCUUCUACCCUCAGUUCGGCUCCAACCCCGGGGACUCGGGCCUCUCGGCUCCACCUCUCCGCCUCCGGCCCUGACCUCCCAACCCACAUUUCUGACGGAGUCCCGGAGUCCCGACACGCCUCUCAGAGAUACCGUGCCUUCGCUCCCCGGAGAUCCCGGGGGAGGUGGGAGGCGGGCGGUGUGGGGCGGAGGCGCCGGAUCCCGCGGGAUCUGUCUCCCAGCAGGGAGGCCGCCAGCCGGAGUCUGUCUGGGUCCCCCCUCCCCUGCCCCUCCCCGCGCUGCUCCAGGGCGGAGUCUGCGGAGUUGAAACCAGGACACGGCGAGAGGAAGAGUUAUAUAACUGGGAGAAGCCGGGAGGGCGAGUGGAAACGGGCACCAACGGCCCGACAGGAGGCGAGGGAGGUGCAAAGCGCCCCGAGGCCGGUGGAGAAGGGCAGGGUUCUGGUGCUCAAGGAAGGAGAAUUCACGCGCAGAAAGGACGCGCUGGCCCGGGAAGUCACCGGGGCUUCCCCGCAGGGCCCUCCCGCCACCAGCCACAGCAGCUGGGCCUGAGCGACCGAAGCCCCGGGAAGGGGCGCUGGCACCGGUUCGGUUCCUCUUGCGGAGGCAACCAAAGCCAAAGUCCGGGAAGGCGGCGGCGGAGCCUGUGGGGCCGGAAACCGCAGCUCCGCCCUGCCGCCACCUGGGAGGGCGGGUGCCAGCUGGGAGGGGGUGGGAGACAGGUAGCCGGCCGAUCCCGCCCAGGACUGGGCAUGACUGGUUCGAGACCUCGAGGAAGAGGGCAGCGGGACCCACACGUCUGGGUCGGGAGGGCCCUGCGGGGAAGCCCCGGCCCGCACACCCCGCAGACGGUCCCAAGGGGCCUGGGGGCGGCGAGCGGGCCCGGGGCGCAGGCGCGGGGGGCGGGUUCCGGCGCGUGCGGCGGGGGGCGGGGCGGGGGCGCGAGCGUGUGGGAGUGCACGUGCAGGCCCCCGCCGCCCGGCCGCUCCCCCCGCCCUCCUGCUUCCUGUCGCCGCACGACGCCGCUCCCCAUUGGCUGCCGGGGAUCUGACGUCAGGGCCGUCCGCCGGAGCGGAUUGGGCCGACUCGAGAGUUCGGGAAUCUGGCUCCGUAGUCUGGCUCUCCAGUUACUCUGGCAACAGGGCCGGAAGUGGAUCGUGGGCAUGAGGCAGACAAGCUGCAUGGGCUCCGCCUCCACCAAGCAGGAGCUCUUCCGGUCCCAGCCAGCACCUUCCAGGUUUGGAGCAGCGGGAAAACUGUGGUUCUGUCAUCAGUUGGUAAAGACGGGUCAUGUUGGCCUUGAGGCCCUGGGGACAAUGAAGUACAGAGAGGGGA